UGGGCGUUUGGUGAUAACAUC
rnacentral:miRNA from 1 species